GAUGAACGCUGGCGGCGUGCCCAAUACAUGCAAGUCGAGCGAACAGAUAAGGAUCUUGCUCCUUUGACGUUAGCGGCGGACGGGUGAGUAACACGUGGGUAACCUACCUAUAAGACUGGAAUAACUCCGGGAAACCGGGGCUAAUGCCGGAUAACAUUUAGAACCGCAUGGUUCUAAAGUGAAAGAUGGUUUUGCUAUCACUUAUAGAUGGACCCGCGCCGUAUUAGCUAGUUGGUAAGGUAACGGCUUACCAAGGCAACGAUACGUAGCCGACCUGAGAGGGGGAUCGGCCACACUGGAACUGAGACACGGUCCAGACUCCUACGGGAGGCAGCAGUAGGGAAUCUUGCGAAAUGGGAGAAAGCAUGACGGAGCAACGCCGCGUGAGUGAUGAAGGUAUUCGGAUCGUAAAACUCUGUUAUUAGGGAAGAACAAAUGUGUAAGUAACUGUGCACGUAUUGACGGUACCUAAUCAGAAAGCCACGGCUAACUACGUG
rnacentral:rRNA from 1 species